rnacentral:rRNA from 1 species
CCGACGGUGAGAGAUGAAAGCUGGGGGAGCAAACCGGAUUAGAUACCCGGGUAGUCCCAGCCGUAAACGAUGUGCGUUAGGUGUAUCGGUGACCACGAGUCACCGAGGUGCCGAAGAGAAAUCGUGAAACGUACCGCCUGGGAAGUACGGUCGCAAGGCUGAAACUUAAAGGAAUUGGCGGGGGAGCACCACAACAGGUGGAGCCUGCGGUUUAAUCGGACUCAACGCCGGGAAACUCACCAGAUAAGACAGCUGAAUGAUAGUCGGGCUGAAGACUCUACUUAACUAGCUGAGAGGAGGUGCAUGGCCGUCGUCAGUUCGUACUGUGAAGCAUCCUGUUAAGUC